CAUUGAAACACAGGUUCCCAUAAUACCACCGGAGUUAAGCAACGUCGAGCCUGGUCAGUACCUAGAUGGGACACCGCUUGUGUAGUACCAGGUGCUGUAAG